rnacentral:rRNA from 1 species
UACGGAGGGAGCUAGCGUUGUUCGGAAUUACUGGGCGUAAAGCGCGCGUAGGCGGCUUUGUAAGUUAGAGGUGAAAGCCCGGGGCUCAACCCCGGAAUUGCCUUUAAGACUGCAUCGCUUGAAUCCGGGAGAGGUGAGUGGAAUUCCGAGUGUAGAGGUGAAAUGCGCAGAUAUCAGGAAGAACACCCGUGGCGAAGGCGGUUCUCUGGGACGGUACUGACGCUGAGACGCGAAAGCGUGGGGAGCGAACAGG